AAAAAAAAAAAAAUAAAAAAAAAGAAGAAAGAAUCUGAGGACCUAUAUGUAAACCCUAAGGACCUAAUCGAGAAUAUGAUAAAAACAAGGACUAAACUGCAAAAUGCACCAAAUGACAAAUUCCACCGUUUAAGCCUCUCUGCCUUCGUUCUUAAGGAAGCAGAGAAGGCAGCUCGUGGGUGAUCAGGGAAAGAAAGAAAGAAAGAAAGAAGAAGAAGAAGAAGAAGAAGAAGAAGAAGAAAAAAAAAAAAUUGGGGCUUUAAGGGUUCUUGCCCAAAUCCUUUCACUUAGGGUCAAAAUUCCCAAAGGCAAGUGUUCUAACCCCAUCCUACAGAAGUUUUAGUCUCUGUUUUUAUGUUGAUUCAAAAUAAAUUGAUGGAUUUCUAUUUAGAAACUGAUAUGUCUCUCUUUGGACAUAGAACCAUGGAUUCUGAAGUUUUUUCGGUAAACUGACCCCUAUACACUGUAUCAGCUAUAAGUUUUAGUACAAAAUGUGAAUUCAGGCAGGAACUAUUUUGUUUGAAAUUAGACUCUAUUAUCUUCCAUUUGACACUGAUUUUGUAGAUUUUUAACACCGAAUACUUACCCAAACAUCUGUUUCAAAUGAGCCUAUAGACGCUGUAAAACAGGGUUCAAGAUUUCUGACCUGUCGAUACUAAAAUGCCUAUAACUCCCUGUUGAAAAUUCUGAUUUGUACCAAACCGAUUUUAUUUGAAACUAGACUUGAAAAUAUUUCUUUUGACAUAUAGUUUGAAAAUUUUGGAUUUCAAUUGCCAACCCUAUUAUCUGUUGAAUCCGACCCUAUAAAUUCUGCAAAACAGUGAUUGUGUUUUUGACCUUGUGUUACCAAAUCAAAGGUAACUCCGUGUUGAGAAACCUGUUUCAUAUGAAAUUUGUUCCAUCAGAAUAUAGAUUGAUAUAUGGUUCGACCACAGCUUUCUUACGGGUAUUGGAGUAUAAUUGAUAUUCUGAAGUAUUUGUUUGAUGUGCCACUGGAAUUCUGUCUGAAAUCGAGCUUUGGUCGAUUUCGCGUAUUCUGUUCCAUUCCUUUGGAUAUUUGAAUUCGUCUAACCUUCUUAUUGGAAUUGAGCUAAAUAUGAUUGCUUGGAAUCCCUGUACACUCUUGUUUUCAUUUUAUUCCAAAUCUGAAUACGUUUGUGAGAGAUUUGUUCUUUAUUUCAUAUUGUUUCGAAAAGGCACAUGUACGUUUUGUUGUUCCGCGUGUGCUUCCAAUAUAUGCUACUUAUUGUUGAAACUGCCCUCUUGUACUCUGGUGUGUGGGAUUGUCUGGACCUUUGCCAGAAAUGGUAAAGGGUAUGCGCUUAUUGCCUGCUAUGUGGGGUCCCGCUAUGUGGGAUAUUCUGGACCUUUGCCAGAAAUGGUAAAGGGUAUGUGCUUAGAGCCUGCGAUGCUCUGCCGGGCCCCUCUGACUUCACCUAGACGUGGGUGGAUGGAGCUCCCAGACGUGAGAGACUUUUGUCAGGUGGUCAUUCAGAAAUGGAUGAAUCACAUUCUGACUGAGAUCCCACUACACCUUCUAUAUGUUUGAUAUGACAUCCAGAGUUUUGGUGAGUUAUUUCUGUUCAUGCUCUGGAUAAGAAUGAUAUGAUUGCGACGUCAAGGACGACGUUUGAGCUUCUGUACGAUAUUUGUUUUUGAUAUGCUCUGAAAUGCUUCAUUCACCGACGAUUUUGCUUCGAAAUGUUCCAUAUGCCGUUGAUAUGCUUCGGAACAUUUUAUAUGCCAUUGAUAAGCUCUGUUAUGUUUCCUUUGUUUCUAAUAUGCUCCAAUUACUCUAUGCACUAUCUGUUAUGAACCAAAUAUGUAUGAUUGAAAGGACAAUUGUGUUUUUGCUCCUAAUGAUAUUAUGUCUAUGAAAUCGUAUAUUCUGCCUUGUAUUUUGAAACUGUAUCUUUUUGGAAAUUGUACUAUUUUGAUAUGGAUAUGUUAGUCACUUGCUGAGCUCUUUAUGCUCACCCCGUUUGUUGAUAAAUUUUUCAGGAUAGCGUAUCGCUUGCUUAAAUGUUAAGAUUGGGCUGAGGUAGUGGAAAGUUUAGAAGAUUUUGGGCAGAUCUUUGUUAGCAUAUGUGUAUUUGUUGUAUAAGAUACUCUGCAUCUUAUGA
rnacentral:lncRNA from 1 species